UACGAAGGGGGCUAGCGUUGCUCGGAAUCACUGGGCGUAACGCGCACGUAGGCGGAUUGCUAAGUCAGGGGUGAAAUCCUGGAGCUCAACUCCAGAACUGCCUUUGAUACUGGCGAUCUCGAGUCCGGGAGAGGUGAGUGGAACUGCGAGUGUAGAGGUGAAAUUCGUAGAUAUUCGCAAGAACACCAGUGGCGAAGGCGGCUCACUGGCCCGGUACUGACGCUGAGGUGCGAAAGCGUGGGGAGCAAACAGG
rnacentral:rRNA from 1 species